UACGGUCAUAUAACGUUAAAACACCGGUUCCUGUAAGAUCACUGAAGUUAAGCAACGGUGAGCCUGGUCAGUAUCUAGAUAGGUGACUUCUUGGGAAUGUCAGCUGCUGUAA